UGGGGCGGGACACGGGUGCGGACUGGCGCGCAGGGCCAAGGGGCGGGCUUUGGACGGCGCGGUUGCUAUGACGGCCAGCGCCGGGCCCCUCCCGCCCGGGCGCCGCCAUCUUGUUGUUGAUUCGGGCGGCGGGGAGCGGCGGCGCUGGGGCUCCGUGUUCCGGUGUCCCGGCCGGGCAGGCAGCGCCGGCCCCGGAGCUGCGCGCAGGAAGGAGCUCGGAACCCGCGGCGGUAACAUGAAACCAACAUGAUCACUGCAAGGAAGCAAAUUGCCAGUGCUGAGCUACCCCUCCCAGCCCAUGUGGCUCUCCCCAUGCUCCAGGAG
rnacentral:lncRNA from 1 species